UCUCGGGCAUGUUAUUUCCAGUGAUGGAAUCCAGACAGACCCGGAGAAACUGGAAGCAGUUCAAAAUUGGCCAACCCCUAAGAACAAAACCGAAGUGCGGGCAUUCCUCGGCCUAU